rnacentral:rRNA from 1 species
CCUACGGGGGGCAGCAGUAGGGAAUUUUCGUCAAUGGGCGCAAGCCUGAACGAGCGAUGCCGCGUGAGUGAAGAAGGCCUUCGGGUCGUAAAGCUCUGUUGCGGGGGAAAAAAGGCAGCAUCAGGAAAUGGGUGCUGACUGAUGGUGCCCCGCCAGAAAGUCACGGCUAACUACGUGCCAGCAGCCGCGGUAAUACGGAGGUGGCGAGCGUUAUCCGGAAUGAUUGGGCGUAAAGGGUGCGCAGGCGGUCCUGCAAGUCUGGAGUGAAACGCAUGAGCUCAACUUAUACAUGGCUUUGGAAACUGGAGGACUGGAGAGCAGGAGAGGGCGGUGGAACUCCAGGUGUAGCGGUAAAAUGCGUAGAUAUAUGGAAGAACACCAGUGGCGAAGGCGGCCUGCUGGACAUUAACUGACGCUGAGGCGCGAAAGCGUGGGGAGCAAACAGGAUUAGAUACCCCGGUAGUC